rnacentral:lncRNA from 1 species
CGUGGGCAUUUUCACCUUUUCUCUGGUUGCUGAGGUUGCUGAUGGUUCCUCUAAUGUUCGAGAGGUGUGGAAGCAAUCUCAAGUGAGGUGUGGAAGCAAUCUCAAGUGAUUUUCUCUCAACAUCAAAGAGGGAUAUUGAGAUAUAUUUCUCAAAUGUCGAUCGAUGUGACAAUCAAGUCUGUAGGAAAGAAGCAUCUCAAGGAUGACUUUGAAAUGAGAGUUUCAAAGUAGUAUUGAAGGACAGAGAGACUAGCGUCAUUAACUCAUUAUACGAGUGUACAUGCUUAUUUAUCGCGAUGAGGAAUGGAAUAUGUUGAAGUUUAUAAUUCUCGGAAGCACAUAACUUGCUUGCUAAUCCAUGUAGGAUCAUAAUAUGCU